CCCCCAGGUACCUGUACCGGCUCUGCCCCUUCCAGCGCGUCACCCAGAGACCCAAAAACGGCGGCGCCGAGACCAACCUGGGGCUCUGGGGCUCCUGGGCGGGGCCCGAAGGCGACAAAUUCGGGGCCCAAAAAUACGAGGGGGGCACGGGGUGCUGGCAGGGACCCAACAGAGCCACCACGGUGCGGCUCAGGUGUGGCCGGGACACGGCGGUGACGGCGGCGUCGGAGCCGAGCCGCUGCGAGUACCUGCUGGAGCUGGAGACACC